UGGGGAAUAUUGCACAAUGGGCGAAAGCCUGCUGCAGCGACGCCGCGUGAGUGAAGAAGUAUUUCGGUAUGUAAAGCUCUAUCAGCAGGGAAGAAAAUGACGGUACCUGACUAAGAAGCCCCGGCUAACUACGUGCCAGCAGCCGCGGUAAUACGUAGGGGGCAAGCGUUAUCCGGAUUUACUGGGUGGAAAGGGAGCGUAGACGGCGAAGCAAGUCUGAAGUGAAAACCCAGGGCUCAACCCUGGGACUGCUUUGGAAACUGUUUUGCUAGAGUGUCGGAGAGGUAAGUGGAAUUCCUAGUGUAGCGGUGAAAUGCGUAGAUAUUAGGAGGAGCACCAGUGGCGAAGGCGGCUUACUGGACGAUAACUGACGUUGAGGCUCGAAAGCGUGGGGAGCAAACAGG
rnacentral:rRNA from 1 species